rnacentral:piRNA from 1 species
UGCUAACACCGCGCAUGCGUGCUAACACC